GGAUCUGCCUGGGGAGAGCUAACAGAGCCAACAGAGAGUGUACGUUGGAUAAAACACAAGAAGAUUAUACAUAAUGUCUUAUUUCACAGAGUCCUCCAUGAUGUGAACUCUCAGGAAGAGGAGCUCCGACACCAUCUCCACCCCAUCCCCAUUGAUCACUGGAAAACUGCUCUGCCUGCCGGGCCAGCGUGCCACUUUGCCUUGCUCAUACCACUAUGAGGACCAGAUGCAUAUUUUCCAGCUAUCCAUACAAUGGAGGAGUCCUCUCAAUGAGCUGCUGUGUCACUAUAUCAAACACAAAGCCUUUCAGAACUGCACGGCUGGCUACACAAUCAGCUACAGCCCAGGCAACAUCACGC
ensembl:lncRNA